UAGGGAAUCUUCGGCAAUGGGGGGAACCCUGACCGAGCAACGCCGCGUGAGUGAAGAAGGUUUUCGGAUCGUAAAGCUCUGUUGUUAAGGAAGAACGUGUGUGAGAGUGGAAAGUUCACACUGUGACGGUAGCUUACCAGAAAGGGACGGCUAACUACGUGCCAGCAGCCGCGGUAAUACGUAGGUCCCGAGCGUUGUCCGGAUUUAUUGGGCGUAAAGCGAGCGCAGGCGGUUUGAUAAGUCUGAAGUUAAAGGCUGUGGCUCAACCAUAGUUCGCUUUGGAAACUGUCAAACUUGAGUGCAGAAGGGGAGAGUGGAAUUCCAUGUGUAGCGGUGAAAUGCGUAGAUAUAUGGAGGAACACCGGUGGCGAAAGCGGCUCUCUGGUCUGUAACUGACGCUGAGGCUCGAAAGCGUGGGGAGCGAACAGGAUUAGAUACCCUGGUAGUCCACGCCGUANCGAUGAGUGCUAGGUGUUGGAUCCUUUCCGGGAUUCAGUGCCGCAGCUAACGCAUUAANCACUCCGCCUGGGGAGUACNACCGCAAGGNU
rnacentral:rRNA from 1 species